GGAGGGUGCAAGCGUUAUCCGGAUUCACUGGGGGUUUAAAGGGGUGCGUAGGCGGGCUUGUAAGUCCGUGGUGAAAUCUCUGAGCUUAACUCGGAACCUGCCAUGGGAUACUAUGGGUCUUGAAUACUCGGGAGGUGAGCGGAAUAUGUCAUGUAGCGGUGGAAUGCUUAGAUAUGACAUAGAACACCAAUUGCGAAGGCAGCUUGCUACAGAGUUAUUGACGCUGAGGCACGAAAGCGUGGGGAUCAAACAGGAUUAGAUACCCUGGUAGUCCACGCCCUAAACUAUGGAUACUCGACGUUGGCGAUAUGACUGUCAGCGUCUGAGCGAAAGCAUUAAGUAUCCCACCUGGGAAGUACGACCGCAAGGUUG
rnacentral:rRNA from 1 species